rnacentral:rRNA from 1 species
GACGAACGCUGGCGGCGUGCCUAAUACAUGCAAGUCGAACGCAGGGGGGACGGGCGAGUAACACGUGGGUAACCUCCCAUCAGAGGGGAUAACACUUGGACACCGGUGCUAAACCGAUACUGAUGGAUGGACCCGCGGUGCAUUAGCUAGUUGGUGAGGUAACGGCUCACCAAGGCAACGAUGCAUAGCCGUCCGGAGAGGGUGAUCGGCCACACUGGGACUGAGACACGGCCCAGACUCCUACGGGAGGCAGCAGUAGGGAAUAUUCGGCAAUGGGCGAAAGUCUGACCGAGCAAUGCCGCGUGAGUGAAGAAGGUUUUCGGAUCGUAAAGCUCUUUUGUUAGAGAAGCGGUAUCUAACCAGAAAGCCACGGCUAACUACGUGCCAGCAGCCGCGGUAAUAC